rnacentral:lncRNA from 1 species
UCCGAAGCUCUCUGCAGGGUGCGAAAGAACUGAGGCUUUUCCUCAUGGCUGUUGGACAAAGCAUGUAUUGAAAUUAAAGGAAGAAGAGAAACAAAAAUUUAACAAUGCUGAACGCAGUGACAAGCGCUGGGUUUUUGUAGAUGUCCUGAAAAGGAAACACAACCAAGUGGGCAAAAUGCUUCUCCAGACAUUUCUUAAUGUGGACUCAGGCAGCCACCAUGGUGAAGGUAAGAUCAGAAUGCAUUGUGAAGAGUUCAGGAUAGCCAUGAUCUGUUGUCAGGUCCAACACUUUAUAAUUAUCUAAAUUAUCAUUUUUCUGUAAAUAGACAACCUU